GAGUGUGAAGGAGACUGAAAUGGAUCGCGAGAGCUUCCGGCACGGAUCUGGUUAACGAAACGCUUCCCGAUGCCCACGAGUCCCCUACUCUGCGAAUUGGCGGCCAUACAAUAUAGCUCCGAUUUAGAGAGAGAGAGAGAAAGAGAGAGAGAGAGAGAGAGCAGUUGAUUGAAUUAUCAAGAGUUUUGACAGGGUUAUAUAUUGAUAAAGAUUGCAAUUUCGAUCACUCGUUUGCUGUCCAGAUUCUGGAAAGUGCAACGGCUAUAUUGUUCAAAUAGCCGUUUCAAUUCAGUUGACGAAA